GACGAACGCUGGCGGCGUGCUUAACACAUGCAAGUCGAACGGAAAGGCCCUGCUUUUGUGGGGUGCUCGAGUGGCGAACGGGUGAGUAACACGUGAGUAACCUGCCCUUGACUUUGGGAUAACUUCAGGAAACUGGGGCUAAUACCGGAUAGGAGCUCCUGCUGCAUGGUGGGGGUUGGAAAGUUUCGGCGGUUGGGGAUGGACUCGCGGCUUAUCAGCUUGUUGGUGGGGUAGUGGCUUACCAAGGCUUUGACGGGUAGCCGGCCUGAGAGGGUGACCGGCCACAUUGGGACUGAGAUACGGCCCAGACUCCUACGGGAGGCAGCAGUGGGGAAUAGUGCACAAUGGGCGGAAGCCUGAUGCAGCAAUGCCGCGUGCGGGAUGACGGCCUUCGGGUUGUAAACCGCUUUCGCCUGUGACGAAGCGUGAGUGACGGUAAUGGGUAAAGAAGCACCGGCUAACUACGUG
rnacentral:rRNA from 1 species